rnacentral:rRNA from 1 species
CCUACGGGCGGCUGCAGUGAGGAAUAUUGGUCAAUGGGCGGAAGCCUGAACCAGCCAAGUAGCGUGCGGGAUGAAGGCCCUACGGGUCGUAAACCGCUUUUGCACGGGGAUAACACCCUCCACUUGUGGAGGUCUGCAGGUACCGUGCGAAUAAGGGCCGGCUAAUUCCGUGCCAGCAGCCGCGGUAAUACGGAAGGCCCGAGCGUUAUCCGGAUUCAUUGGGCUUAAAGGGAGUGUAGGCGGGCGUUCAAGUCACCUGUAAAAUCGCGCGGCUCAACCGCGCCCCGCAGUUGAAACUGGACGCAUUGAGUGCACAACAGGCAGGCGGAAUUCGUGGUGUAGCGGUGAAAUGCAUAGAUAUAACGAGGAACCCCGAUUGCGAAGGCAGACUGCCGGGGUGCGACUGACGCUGAGGCUCGAAGGUGCGGGUAUCAAACAGGAUUAGAUACCCGAGUAGUC